UACCGAGGGGGCAAGCGUUGUUCGGAAUUACUGGGCGUAAAGGGCGCGUAGGCGGCCUGUUAAGUCGAACGUGAAAUCCCCGGGCUCAACCCGGGAACUGCGUCCGAUACUGGAAGGCUUGAAUCCGGGAGAGGGAUGUGGAAUUCCAGGUGUAGCGGUGAAAUGCGUAGACAUCUGGAGGAACACCGGUGGCGAAGGCGACAUCCUGGACCGGUAUUGACGCUGAGGCGCGAAAGCCAGGGGAGCAAACGGG
rnacentral:rRNA from 1 species